GAGGAAGAAUUCACCAUUGAUACAGCCACGGGAGAUGAAUCGCCGUUAACGGUCACAGUGACAGCAGCGAUGACAACUGGAACCCAACAUUCGUUAUAGCUGGCGGUGCGCUCCUUUUCGGUGUAUUAAUAUCCAUCAUUUUGAUCUCGCUGCAGAUAUUUUUUGCGGAUGAUGAAUUGGAUGACGACGACGACGGUGGAACAGGCACUUACGCCCGAUCUGGCCGUGCCGGUGCCAGCGGUGGAGGUACCACAACCACUCAGCAUUUCGUGUCUUCUGGUUCUGCAAUCAUUUCAGCCGUUUCAACUGUUCCUGUAUGGCGUCAGUAGGACCACCACCAUC
rnacentral:misc_RNA from 1 species